CGGUCUGGUAACGUAGGUUUGGUUUGUCCAGAGAAUUACCAGAGAAGUUAAAGGAGAGUGGGCGUGCAAAGGGGAUUAAGAUGGACGAGAACUGGAAGAGGAGAACCAAGAUUUGGCGAAUGAAAAGAAGAGUUCUAGAGUUGGAGAGAGCCAUGCUUGGUGGUCUGAGAAGCUUUAGACGAUCUGGAAACUGAAUUCACCGAGGAUGAGAUAAGAAUGACAGUAUUUC
rnacentral:lncRNA from 1 species